rnacentral:rRNA from 1 species
GACGAACGCUGGCGGCGUGCUUAACACAUGCAAGUCGAACGGAAAGGCCCUGCUGUGGUGGGGUGCUCGAGUGGCGAACGGGUGAGUAACACGUGAGUAACCUGCCCUUGACUUUGGGAUAACUUCAGGAAACUGGGGCUAAUACCGGAUAGGAGCUCCUGCUGCAUGGUGAGGGUUGGAAAGUUUCGGCGGUUGGGGAUGGACUCGCGGCUUAUCAGCUUGGUGGUGGGGUAGUGGCUUACCAAGGCUUUGACGGGUAGCCGGCCUGGGAGGGUGACCGGCCACAUUGGGCCUGAGAUACGGCCCAGACUCCUACGGGAGGCAGCAGUGGGGAAUCUUGCACAAUGGGCGGAAGCCUGAUGAAGCAACGCCGCGUGCGGGAUCACGGCCUUCGGGUUGUAAACCGCUUUCGCCUGUGACGAAGCGUGAGUGACGGUAAUGUGUAAAGAAGCACCGGCUAACUACGUG